rnacentral:rRNA from 1 species
AUUGAACGCUGGCGGCAGGCCUAACACAUGCAAGUCGAGCGGAUGAAGGGAGCUUGCUCCUGGAUUCAGCGGCGGACGGGGGAGUAAUGCCUAGGAAUCUGCCGGGUAGUGGUGUAGAACGUCCUGAAACGGGCGCUAAUACCGCAUACGUCCUGAGGGAGCAAGUGGGGGAUCUUCGGACCUCACGCUAUCAGAGGAGCCUAGGUCGGAUUAGCUAGUUGGUGGGGUAAAGGCCUACCAAGGCGACGAUCCGUAACUGGUCUGAGAGGAUGAUCAGUCACACUGGAACUGAGACACGGUCCAGACUCCUAAGGGACGCAGCAGUGGGGAAUAUUGGACAAUGGGCGAAAGCCUGAUCCAGCCAUGCCGCGUGUGUGAAGAAGGUCUUCGGAUUGUAAAGCACUUUAAGUUGGGAGGAAGGGCAGUAAGUUAAUACCUUGCUGUUUUGACGUUAACAACAGAAUAAGCACCGGCUAACUUCGUG